rnacentral:pre_miRNA from 1 species
AACCAGCACGGACUGGCACGACCGGACAUCUCUGGGCAAGUAUCUCUUUGAGUCGCUCACUCUCAAGCAUGACUAGGUGG